GCCAGGUGUGGUGGCGUAUGCCUGUAAUCCAAGCAACUCAGGAGGCUGAGGCAGGAGGAUUUGAAGUUUGAGGCCAGCCUCAG
rnacentral:sRNA from 1 species